rnacentral:rRNA from 1 species
GUCGAGCGCGGGAGCAGUUGAUCCCUUCGGGGUGACACUGUGGACGAGCGCCGGACAGGUGAGUAUCACGUGUGCAACCUGCCUGUGUGAUUGGGAUAUCUCUCGGAAACGUGUGCUAAUACCGAAAAAUACUUUUUGCCUCCCGGGAAGAAAAUAAAAGGCGGCUUUUAUCUGUCACUUACACAUGGGCCCCCGGCGCACUAUCUAUUUGGUGAGGUAACGGCUCACCAAGGCGACAAUACGUAUCCCACAUGUGAGGGUGAUCGGCCACACUGGGACUGAGACACGGCCCACACUCCUACAGGAGGCAGCACUAUGGAAUCUUCCCCAAUGGACAAAAGUCUGACAGAGCAACGCCCCGUGAGUGAUGAAGGUUUUCGGAUCGCAAAACUCUGUUGUCACGGAAAAAAAAGUGCGAGAGUAACUGCUCUCGCCUUGACGGUACCUGACCACAAAGCCACGGCUAACUACAUGCCACCACCCGCGGUAAUACAUAUGUGGCACGCGUUGUCCGGAAUUAUUGUGCGUAUAGCGCUCUCACGCGGUCUUUUAAGUCUGAUG